rnacentral:rRNA from 1 species
UGAGGAACAUGACCUUCGGCGGGGGAUAGCCGGCCCAACGGCCGGGUAAUACCGCGUACGACCACAUGGGGACAUCCCUGAGUGGUGAAAGCAGCAAUGCGCCGAUGGAGUGCCUCGCGGCCUAUCAGCUAGUUGGUGAGGUAACGGCUCACCAAGGCGACGACGGGUAGCUGGUCUGAGAGGAUGGCCAGCCACAUUGGGACUGAGACACGGCCCAGACUCCUAGGGAGG